rnacentral:lncRNA from 1 species
AUGCACCGAGUACCUUAUGGAAUUUGGCUCGUCUUGUUGAUAAGCGGGUGCUUGUCAGAGCGGAUUGGAGAUGCUGAGACGGGGGAUGAGCAGGGGCAAAUGAUGAACCAUAGGCUCCGCGAUCAGGUCGUGCAGGUCCAGGUGCCUGCUGACGGCAGUCUCGACCAGGGGGGCCAAAUGGGGAACGCGGCCCCGAUGUCGGGACAAAAAACUGGAGAAGCCCCCGUUUACGGUCUCAUGAAGUACUUCUCCUACCUGACGCGCUCCUCCACUCAUAACACUCAAAUGAUGCAGGUUUUGAAAAGUAUAGUGUCCGAGGUGACGGACACGAGAAUAAAAGUGGAUCAGAUCAACGACAAGUUGGAUAUGGUGCUCACUCGAGUUACCGUCGUCGAACCACAGGCUCAGGAGCAGAAACGAACCGCAUUCAGUGGAUUCAAGCUAUUCAAAUGAAUUUCCAGCUCUUUAAUCGACAGAUGGAAACUUUUGGCAUUACUUCAUCGUAUUCCUCCUUUGUGCACUUCUUGUGGUAUAGUAAACUUUUAAAGAUAACAGAGAAAAAGUUUUUUUAUUUUAUUUUAUUUAAUUUAUUUUCUAUGUGGUUUUAUUUAGUUAUUCUUACCCGCACUCGUGGAAACAUACAAGUUUGUCGGUCACAUAAAGUACAUAUAGUCGUAAUGUGAGUGGGAGAGCUGGAACCACUUUUAAGCAUUUUCCAAGUCCCGAAACCUUGUGUGGAUAUAAAGUUAUGAGGUAUGAGCGAAUGAGGUAAAAGUAUGAAAUAUUUAUUUUGGAAAAAAGACACAUUGUUACUGUAAAAUAAAAUCUAUUCAACGUAAUAAAAAUCAGUUCACUUUGAACAAGUCGAGAUUCGCUUUUGAUUAACUCAUUACUCAUCAAAUAAAAAAUUAUCACAAUUUCAGAGUAUGCAUUUUCUUGAACACUCGGGUCACCAUGAAAAGUAUUAUAAAGAUUGUUAACAUACCUAUCUGUACUAGGUACCUCAUAAAUUUGAAGUGAAUAGUUCGUAACUUCUAUGAGAUUCCUUGGAUAAAGUGAAUUUAUGGUACUCAUUGUGAUCGAAAUCAAUAGAAAGUACUGACCGCUGUACUGCCGUGCUAAGGAAGAACGCCGUAUGAGCAUUUGAGAGUUGCCAAAUUUCCCCGAAUAAAACAUGUAUUUUUGAAGAAUGUUAUGCAUAAUUCUCCGUGUAAUUUUCAGACUUUUUAGAUAAGAUUGCAAACAAAAUCCUCCCAAAAAUUGGAGAAAAAAUAUUCACAAAUUUUCUUGAAAACUCGUGAUUUGUCGAAGUAAAUUUGGCAGCGCUUGAAGGCUCAUAUGGCGUUCUUCUCGGCGUUAUAAGGCGCCAUAGAAAAGGCGACCACAAGGCAAGAUUCCCACAGGAUAGGUCGUAUGCAUGAAGGAAUCAAAGAUUCGUCCCUCCGUUUGUAAUCUGAAAGGUAUUAAUAAAGCACGCCUCAUGCAUGGAUGUUACUUUUCUACGACGCGACAGGCACCGGGUGACUCAAUCACAGGAUCCUUUUGUCAGGCCUCCGCCCGCAGAAGUAGAACA